rfam:Termitomyces sp. J132 unplaced genomic scaffold scaffold381, whole genome shotgun sequence.
GGGCACUUGGCACAGUUGGUAGCGCGCACGCUUCGCAUCUGGACGUUGUUCUCCAAUCUGCGUGAGGUCGUGGGUUCAAUUCCCACAGUGUCCA